UUCUGUGGCUUAGUUGGUUGAAGCGCCGGUCUAGCGAAUACGGAGUCAUGGGUUCGAAUCCCACCAGAA
rnacentral:tRNA from 1 species